CAAACAGUGUUAGUAUAGGAGUUCCCAUCAUGGCUCAGCGGUUAACUAACCUGACUAACUAACCUGCAGGUUUGAUCCCUGGCCUCGCUCAGUGGGUUAAGGAUCCAUUGUUGCCAUGAGCUGUGGUGUAGGUCGAAGACACGAUUGGAUCCAGUGUUGCUGUGGUGUGGUGGAGGCUGUCAGCUACAGCUCUGAUUGGACCCCUAGCCUGGGAACCUCCAUAUGCUUUGGGUGACACCCUAAAAAGACGACCCCCCCAAACAAAAGACCAGUGUUAGUACAGACUGUAGUGUAUUCUGUUUAAUGUAUGUAUUCCGUUUAAUGGAUGUAUAUGAAUGGUGUAAAAAAUUCAAAAGGUGUUUGCCUUCAUUACACUAUAGUUAGGGCCAACUCUUUGAGCCUGACUUGGGCAGCAGAAUUUCUGAAUUUUAAAUUAAGGCUUCAAUUGAAUGUAAAGUACUCUCAUAUUAAGUGAUUUUGAAGGCACUUGGCUGAUUUAACCUUACAAAAUAGUCUGAGACAUUUAUAUUUGGGAUUGAAACCACCAAAAUCAUGCUCCAAAUGAAGGAGAAUUAAUUUUCAGGAUUAAUGUAGGAUUUUGAAACAAGCUUCACACUUAAAAGAGACUAAUAACUGGCUAGUGACUAGAGUUAGCUUGAGUGUGAGAGUUGGGCUUCUCAGUGGGUUUUUUUUUUUUUUUUCCCUUUGUUAUUAUUCAAGUAUAGUUGAUCCACAAUGUUUCUUCAAGUCCUGUUGUACAGUAAGGUCCCAUUGCCCAUCUAUUCCAAAUAUAAUAGUUUGCAUCCAAAAACCCCCCAAAGUGCCAAUCCAUCUCACUUUGUUUCUAGUUCUGCAGUCUUAUUCUGUUGUCACAUGAUACAUUCUGCCUUCCUCCUCUGAUGGAAGCACAGCAGUCCUUUUCUGGUCCCUUAGCAUAAUAGCCCAGACCUAAGACAAAAAGUUAAGAAAUGCAAGGCUAGGACCCCACAUGCUGAGGUUUGGAACUACUUUUCUUCAUAUUCAGCAUUUAACUCCCAGUGCUUAGAAGCAUUCAGUAUUUGAUGAAUGAGUGAACUCUCUUUGAUUUUAGCACAGGCUAAUUUUCAUGUCCUCCUAGCAUUACUGUUGGAAUGAGAAAUUCUAAUCUAAAUACACAAAAAUGUAUUUCUUAUAGGGCCAGACCAUUGUUCUGGUUUAGCUUGCACUUUCCUUUCUUGCCUAGGUUAUAUGUGUAAAGGAGAGCUAAGUUGCUGUUUAACAUCAUUAGCUUCAUUGUAUUUAAUUCUGUAAAAAUAAAUGUUUCAUAAUAAUGACAGGAGAUAAAUACUACUCUGGCUUUGUAGAACCACCUUGGAAUUAAAUUGUUAUUAUUUUUUAUACCUGGCAGCUGAUGGGGUAAGAAGAACACCCUUUCAUUCUAAAUAGGGUUGUGAUACUCUGGAUGGAAAUGAAAUGUGUACAUUUUCAUUUUUCUUUGAUUAAAAAUGGCUUUUAAUAUUUUACAUUUUAGUGUCAUGUUAGAGAUUUCAUUCCAUGACCAUUUGUUCAUUCACAUGUAUUUUUAUUUUUAGCUCUAAGCGAAAGACAUGAGGCCUAAGACUGAAAUGAGGUUGUUUUGAGGCCAUCUGAUUUCUGGCUAGAAGGUGUGCGAUCGCCUCGUCCUGAAACCACUGCAGACAGAAUGGUUUGCAAUUUUUUUUGGUGAUGACAUGUUCAGAAUCUUGGAUCCCUAAGUUGAAAUAUAUUGGAAAUACUUAGGAACUCUGGAAAUUGUUGUUUUUGUAUAUCUAAUGACUUUCUAGGUGAAUCAAUAGAUUUAAUAAAAAGUAUAUAAAAGAAUAGGCAUCAUAACUUUGUAUUUCUAAGUUGGCAUGCGUGUCUCAAAUUCUCAGCUAUCAAUAUUACUGUCAUACUCUGGUGACAGUUAUCUUCUGAAGAUUUGGGGGCUUUCAUGGACCCCCUGUUUUCCCAGGCAAUCUGUAUAGUCCUCCCAAGCUGAUUUGUGCAACUUCUUUUACUUUCUAUCUGCCUUGGAGUGUAGCUCACUUAGAUCAGAGAUAAUUCUUGAGCUGGAGGAGAGAGGAUAAAAUAAUCAUCAGGUGACAAUCCUAAAGGUAGCAAUUAUAAAACUUCAACCUGGAAAUGGCCUCAGCACGGUCUAUGUUAGAAUAUGCAAAUUCUACCCAAUAUAUCCAAAUACACUUGUGGCAGAAUGCUGCCAAGUUUCGAACGGUAUUUUAAUAUUGUGCUAAUGAGGAAGGAAAGAAGCUGCUCAUUUUUACCUCCUCCCUCUCUCGCUGUUGUUGAAGGAACUAAUUAGGAAAGGAAAAUGGCCAAGAGGAAUUCCCGUUGUGGUGCAGCGGAAACGAAUCUGACUAGGAAACAUGAGGUUGCAGGUUCAAUCCCUGGCCUUGCUCAGCGGGUUGAAGAUCUGGCAUUGCCAUGAGCUGUGGUGUAGGUCACAGACGCAGCUCAGAUCUGGUGUGGCUGUGGCACAGGCUGGCAGCUAUAGCUCCGAUUAGACUCCCAGCCUGGGAACCUCCAUGUACUGUGGGUGUGGCCCUAAAAAGACAAAAGCAAAAAAAAAAAAAAAAA
rnacentral:lncRNA from 1 species